rnacentral:rRNA from 1 species
UACGGGGGGGCAAGCGUUGUUCGGAAUUACUGGGCGUAAAGGCUCGUAGGUGGCCAACUAAGUCAGACGUGAAAUCCCUCGGCUUAACCGGGGAACUGCGUCUGAUACUGGAUGGCUUGAGUUUGGGAGAGGGACGCGGAAUUCCAGGUGUAGCGGUGAAAUGCGUAGAUAUCUGGAGGAAUACCGGUGGCGAAGGCGGCAUCCUGGACCGACAUUGACGCUGAAACCGAAAGCUAGGGGAGCAAACGGG